UUUUUUUUCUUUCCUUUUCUUUCAAGACAAGGCAUAUUGACCCUUUUAGAGUGUCAUGUUGUUGUUUUACAUUAUCACAUGCAAUGCCAGUGAAUUGCAAAUAUCUACGAAAUGUUUUGUGAUAUAACUCAAUGCAAAGUUCCUACCAAAAAAAUGAUAAAUAAAAAUAAAAAUAAAGCAAAAUUGUUUCCCUACUCUUUAUGUAAUUCUAGAAUUACACAGAUGGGUGCAGUCGUAAAUGUUCCUCCUGUUUUACAUUUAUGAAAAAUACUCAAACCAAUACUUAAAAUUAAAGGCUAGUAUGAUAUAUUCACUAUCCAUUUGUUUAAAUUGAUGGUACAUUAUUCACCAUUAAUUAAAAAUUGCAAUCAGCUUACGUUCUCCAACAUGUGAGUUUAGCUCCUUAGAAUGAAUAGGAUGCGGAAUUGUCCAUGGAUUAUAUAUAAUAAGAUCAGCCAGAUUAAAGUUUGGCAGUUUGCUAAUCAGUGUGAUGGUAGGCUUGAGAAUUCUCUAAUGCUUUAUGUAGUCUGGGACUACAUUGGUAAAGUACACAUAUGCUCUUAAAGAGACUGCAUUUAUGAAUCAAGUAACAUCUACAGAUUGCACUGGCUGGGUAAAUGUAAAUUCCUUUUUUAUGUAAUAACCAUUUCCUUGAGUCUUGUUGAGCCAGUAGUUGUAUUUUUUUGUCUGCUUUAUUUUUUCAUGCCACUGAAUUUUUCAGAUAAAAUAAAUGUUAUGUAGGACUUUAUUCAGUAUAAUAAUUUUAUGACUCAGAUCCUUGCUUCUGAUGUCUCCAAUUGUUGACCUGAUUGUAACGUGUAGGGAGUCUAGGGACCCUUAUCUGAUGGCUGCCUUGUCUAAGGUGGUAAUAAUAGCCCCAAAAUUAUUUGAUUAACGGAUUAAUAAUGUUAGGUUGAUCAGUUGAUGUGAGUAGUGGUUUGUGUCUGAACAAUUGAUUUUUGUUUUGGUACUUGUAGGGUGACAAAGAUAAGAAAAUUGA
rnacentral:misc_RNA from 1 species